GAGACAGCAGUAGCCGCGGGAAUACGGAGGGGGCAAGCGUUAUCCGGAAUUAUUGGGCGUAAAGGGUACGUAGGUGGCCUUUUAAGCGCAGGGUAUGAGGCAAUGGCUCAACCAUUGUUCGCCCUAUGAACUGGAAGGCUUGAGUGCAGGAGAGGAAAGCGGAAUUCCCAGUGUAGCGGUGGAAUGCAUAGAUAUUAGGAGGAACAUCAGCGGCGAAGGCGGCUUUCUGGACUGCAACUGACACUGAGGUACGAAAGCGUGGGGAGCGAACAGGAUUAGAUACCCGCGUAGUCCCUGUCUCUUAUACA
rnacentral:rRNA from 1 species